CCUGGUUGAUUCUGCCAGUAGUCAUAUGCUUGUCUCAAAGAUUAAGCCAUGCAUGUCUAAGUAUAAGCAACUAUACUGUGAAACUGCGAAUGGCUCAUUAAAUCAGUUAUCGUUUAUUUGAUAGUACCUUACUACAUGGAUAACCGUGGUAAUUCUAGAGCUAAUACAUGCUAAAAACCUCGACUUCGGAAGGGGUGUGUUUAUUAGAUAAAAAACCAAUGCCCUUCGGGGCUCCCUGGUGAUUCAUAAUAACCUAACGAAUCGCAUGGCCUUGUGCCGGCGAUGGUUCAUUCAAAUUUCUGCCCUAUCAACUUUCGAUGGUAGGAUAGUGGCCUACCAUGGUUUCAACGGGUAACGGGGAAUUAGGGUUCUAUUCCGGAGAAGGAGCCUGAGAAACGGCUACUACAUCCAAGGAAGGCAGCAGGCGCGCAAAUUACCCAAUCCCGACACGGGGAGGUAGUGACAAUAAAUACUGAUACAGGGCUCUUUUGAGUCUUGUAAUUGGAAUGAGUACAAUUUAAAUCCCUUAACGAGGAACAAUUGGAGGGCAAGUCUGGUGCCAGCAGCCGCGGUAAUUCCAGCUCCAAUAGCGUAUAUUAAAGUUGUUGCAGUUAAAAAGCUCGUAGUUGAACCUUGGGCCUGGCUGACCGGUCCGCCUCACCGCGUGCACUGGUUCGGCCGGGCCUUUCCUUCUGGGGAGCCGCAUGCCCUUCACUGGGUGUGUCGGGGAACCAGGACUUUUACUUUGAAAAAAUUAGAGUGUUCAAAGCAGGCCUAUGCUCGAAUACAUUAGCAUGGAAUAAUAGAAUAGGACGUGUGGUUCUAUUUUGUUGGUUUCUAGGACCGCCGUAAUGAUUAAUAGGGAUAGUCGGGGGCAUCAGUAUUCAAUUGUCAGAGGUGAAAUUCUUGGAUUUAUUGAAGACUAACUACUGCGAAAGCAUUUGCCAAGGAUGUUUUCAUUAAUCAGUGAACGAAAGUUAGGGGAUCGAAGACGAUCAGAUACCGUCGUAGUCUUAACCAUAAACUAUGCCGACUAGGGAUCGGGCGAUGUUAUCUUUUUGACUCGCUCGGCACCUCACGAGAAAUCAAAGUUUUUGGGUUCUGGGGGGAGUAUGGUCGCAAGGCUGAAACUUAAAGAAAUUGACGGAAAGGCACCACCAGGCGUGGAGCCUGCGGCUUAAUUUGACUCAACACGGGGAAACUCACCAGGUUAACCACGGUUGUUACGACCUCUGGGCCUGGAAAAGAAGGGGGGUGGCCCACCUCUCUCUAGUGCUUGUCUUUGUCUGUGUGGGGAAGUCCCCUAUUUUGGGCACAGACGCUCCGUAGCGGGAGCGUGACAGGUGCAACACCAGCUGGAACAGAAGACGCCUCCGUUACAUGUAACGAAGCCAAUUCUGUGGCGA
rnacentral:rRNA from 1 species